GUAGUCAUAUGCUUGUCUCAAAGAUUAAGCCAUGCAUGUCUAAGUAUAAGCAACUAUACUGUGAAACUGCGAAUGGCUCAUUAAAUCAGUUAUCGUUUAUUUGAUAGUACCUUACUACAUGGAUAACCGUGGUAAUUCUAGAGCUAAUACAUGCUAAAAACCCCGACUUCGGAAGGGGUGUGUUUAUUAGAUAAAAAACCAAUGCCCUUCGGGGCUCCCUGGUGAUUCAUAAUAACCUAACGAAUCGCAUGGCCUUGUGCCGGCGAUGGUUCAUUCAAAUUUCUGCCCUAUCAACUUUCGGUGGUAGGAUAGUGGCCUACCAUGGUUUCAACGGGUAACGGGGAAU
rnacentral:rRNA from 1 species